AUUGAACGCUGGCGGCAGGCCUAACACAUGCACGUCGAACGAGUGGCGGACGGGUGAGUAAUGUCUGGGAAACUGCCUGAUGGCGGGGGAUAACUACUGGAAACGGUAGCUAAUACCGCAUACCAUCGGAUGUUCCCAGAUGGGAUUAGCUAGUAGGUGGGGUAAAGGCUCACCUGGGCGACGAUCCCUAGCUGGUCUGCGAGGAUGACGAGCGACACUGGAACUGUGACACGGUCCAGACGCCUACGGGAGGCAGCAGUGGGGAAGAUUGGACAAUGGGCGCAAGCCUGAAGCAGCCAUGCCGCGUGUAUGAAGAAGGCCUUCGGGUUGUAAAGUACUUUCAGCGGGGAGGCGUUACCCGCAGAAGAAGCACCGGCUAACUCCGUGCCAGCAGCCGCGGUAAUAC
rnacentral:rRNA from 1 species